rnacentral:rRNA from 1 species
UACGUAGGGGGCAAGCGUUGUCCGGAAUCAUUGGGCGUAAAGAGCGUGUAGGCGGCCCGGUAAGUCCGCUGUGAAAGUCCAGGGCUCAACCCUGGAAUGCCGGUGGAAACUGUCGGGCUAGAGUCCGGAAGAGGCGAGUGGAAUUCCUGGUGUAGCGGUGAAAUGCGUAGAUAUCGGAAGGAACACCAGUGGCGAAAGCGGCUUCCUGGUCCAGCACCGACGUUCAGGCACGAAAGCGUGGGGAGCAAACAGG